AUGGAGGUGAGUUUGGGUCUUGCCCUUCCCCUGAAGUUGAGUCCCCAGGGUUGGGAUCAGCCAGGGUACUGGGUCUGGACGUCUGUCUUCCUUCUGACUCUCCUGGACCCAUGGGAGGCCCAGUGGGGACAACAGAGCUCAGCUGCAAGCCACGUGGGCAGUCUCCACAUUUUCUUUCCUCAGAGCAUAUGCAGUGCAGAUAUGGCUGACGCCGUGGAUGCUCAAGUUAACAACUCGGAAUCCUGUCCAUUGCUUCGUGAAACACUGCAGGAGUUGCGUCGCAGAGUCUGUGAGCCCUCUGGCUCCUACAGUCCCCCAGGCCAGAACCAGCCCUUUGACUCCUCCACUUCAAGGAAUUGGUAUGACUGGAUACUUGAGCUAUUUAAAGAGCUCCUGCAGCGACUGCAGCAGAAGUUUCAGAAAGCCCUGGAGUGGCUUCAUCAGAUAGCGGCUGCCUGCCUACAGGGCUUGCGCAUAGCGGCUGAGGCCGUCUGGAGAGUGUUGAAUGAUUUUUGCUCCUCUCUGGAGCAGCUCUUCAGGAGCCUUAUCCAGGUCUAGAAGCCCCAAGGGGUCCCCAGGGAGCUUGGCCUCAUCUAGACGCCUCAAUUUCCCCUUCUCACAGGGCAUCUUCUGAUGCACCCUUUACCCUCCUGCUCACCCUUGACCCAUCCUCAUAGCCUGCCUCACCCCCUCCCCUUCAGGGAGGGCACCACCCAGCCCAUCUAACUCUCCCUGCCUGAAUUUUCCUGCACCAGGUCUGACCUGCCUGUCACUGUAGUGCUGAUGUCCUAAUAAAAGUCAGUUGACCCAAAUGGAGUGUCUGUGUGGAUGAGAGGCUGGGGGUCGGAUGGCUACAGGCAGAGGUGGUGGGUCAGAUGGAUCCAGGUGGGGGUCCUGGUGCUGGAUGGAUAAGCAAAAGCCACUGGACUCUCUAAUCUGUAACUGGGAAUGAAGGAGGAAACAGACAGAACAGGCUCCAUCUUGCAAGCAGGACUCCAUCUUGGGUCAGACUGUGGACUUUGAGCUAUGUGCCCAGUAUCUAUGGAAACGAUGUACCAACUGGAAAACCCCCCACCGCCGAUGGAAGAGCCCCAGGGCUCGUACCUAGACUCUCCAUUGCCUAAAAGAAUUCCCUAAUUAUCUGUGUAACCAAAUAGAAUCAUGAAUUCUAUUAUGCUUAUUGGGAUAUGACCACAGGCUUAUUGAUAAUUGUCCACUGUUAACUACUUAGGCUCAAGGCAUAUGAUCACAGGUUAACUUUGAUUGUAUCUUUCUUUUUCCUUUAUUUCAGACUGGUUUCAGAGAAUUUGGGGAGGUGGGUUUGAGCAUGUACAUUUAGGGUAUAUAAGGGGUCCUUGGCUAAGAGGAGACUCUACCUCAGGCCCCCUGGUGUAAUAAACUGCACUCCACUAUCUGCAUUGUCUUUCUGAGUGAGUUUGUUUCCCAGAACAGGAACACUGGUCGUGGACUGACUGGUGGGGAGGACUGGACCAUCACACUCCUAG
ensembl:lncRNA